GUUCAAGAAAAGGUGUUAUCUUGCAGUUUGUUCAGCUAUUUUCCUUGUAGGAAUGACAGUGUCAUCAUUCCAGCUCUCUUCAUCAUCAAACUGACACCUGAAGCCUCCAGAAGCUAAAUAUAUAAAGAAUUAAGAGUUCUUUAUAUAUUAGGUGUAUUAGCCCUUUAUCUGUGAGGUAUAUUACAAAUGUUUUCUCCUGGCCGGGCAUGGUGGCUCACGCCUAUAAUCCCAGCACUUUGGGAGGCGGAGGCAGGGGGAUCACUGGAGGCCAGGAGUUUGAGACCAGCCUGGCUAACAUGGUGAAACCCCGUUUCUACUAAAAAUAAAAAAAUUAGCCAGGCGUGGUACGCAUCUGUAAUCCCAGCUAUUUGGAGGCUGAGGCUGGAGAAUCGCUUGAACCUGGGAGGCGGAGGCUACAGGGAGCUGAGAUCACUUCAGCCUGGGCAAUGACGUGAGACUCUGUCUCAAAACAAACAAACAAAAAGAAACCAAACAAAUAUCUUCUCCCAGUUUAUCAACUGUCUUUCGAUUUUGUUUAUUUUCUUUUUUAAACUCUGCCCAGUUUUGCCUUUCCCAUAGAAACCCCAAUAAAAGUGAGGGCCUAGGCUUUACCCUCAGUCCUGCUUCCGCCUGUCCAAACUGUAUCUCUCCUGUAGCUCUGUGUGAUGUGACUUGUCCUCUUCUCCAAGGAAGUAUUAGUCAUAAAUUCUUCUUUCAGCGGCACUGAUCUAUCUGUGUCAUCACUCAGUCAACCGCAUAAAUUAAGACCUAGGCACAGAACAACUCUGUUUCUAUUUCUAUAAAAUUCUAGAAAAUGCAAACUAAACCAGGCCGGGCGCGGUGGCUCACGCCUGUAAUCCCAACACUUUGGGAGGCCGAGGCGGGUGGAUCAUGAGGUCAGGAGAUCGAGACCAUCCUGGCUAACAAGGUGAAACCCCGUCUCUACUAAAAAUACAAAAAAUUAGCCGGGCGCGGUGGCGGGCGCCUGUAGUCCCAGCUACUCGGGAGGCUGAGGCAGAAGAAUGGCGUGAACCCGGGAAGCGGAGCUUGCAGUGAGCCGAGAUUGCGCCACUGCAGUCCGCAGUCCAGCCUGGGCGAUAGAGCGAGACUCCGUCUCAAAAAAAAAAAAAAAAAAAGAAAAUGCAAACUAAACCAUAAUGACAAAAAGAAUAUUAGUGGUUUCCUAGGGAUGGGAUGUGGGCAAAGAGAGACAAAGGAAGGAGGGAUUACCAAGGAGCACAGGGAAACUUCGGGAUGAGGGAUAUGCUCAUUAUCUUGACUGGUGAUGGUUUUGCAGGUGGGCCAAAACUAAUCAAACUUUACACUUCAUCUAUAUGACCAGCUAUCAUAUGUCAAUUAUCCCUCAAUAAAGCUGUUUUAAAAACAUUUAGGGUAUAUCUACUGGAAAGUAAAACUGCUUUUAAUUACAGACUAUAUCAUCAUGUACAUAGAAAAAUCCAAAGGAUUCUGCAAAAAAGCUACUAGAACCACUGACUUCAUCAAGAUGCAGUCUCCCUCUGAUGCCGAGCGGAGGCUGGACUGUACAGCCA
rnacentral:lncRNA from 1 species